GAAUAAACCUGGUGGACUGUCGCUGGCUCUCUCGAGGGCAUGUGCACGUCCGUCAUCUUUAUCUUUCCACCUGUGCACAUCUUGUAGAUAUGGAGACCACUCUCUUUUUUAGUUUAAAAGGUUUGAGGAAUUGUAGGCUCUGCAAAGAGUCAGCUUUCCUUGGGGUAGCCAUGUCUAUGUCUUUCACAUACACCAAUGAAAUGUGACAGAAUGUAAAUUAAAAAGGUCUUUGUACCUAUAAUAAAACUAUACAACUUUCAGCAACGGAUCUCUUGGCUCU
rnacentral:misc_RNA from 1 species